CCUUUACUUAUCGAAAAUACAUUAUCGAAGUUUAAAUGAAUACAGAAUUCGCAUCAAUGGUCAUACACAUGCCAUGUUGGGCUCAAAUGAAAGAUAAUUGAUUAAAUAUUUCAAAAAAUUAAGUUUGAAGAUAAUUCGUCAUUUUUUGGUCACGUGGUAUAUUUCCAAAAGUCACGUGACUGUUGGAGAAAAAGUGAAAAAAUACGAAAUCCUUGGGCAAAAAGUCGUGCAGAGACAUAUUGGUGGGCUAAUAGGGUCAGGUUUUGAUGGAAACACAAUGCCUCGAGUCUGUUGAAGCCAUAUAAGUUAUCAUAGUGGUAUAUAAAUAGACGCAUAACGUGCUAUAGGCCUUGAAAUAUCGAUGUCCGUAACAUUCAAAAUAAUUGAUUUUAGACGCUCUUUUUGUCCGAUUUCAAACUUGGACCCUAGUUAUUUGUCUAAUUCGUUUUCAAUCAAUCAGCAACCUAAACUUUGUUUUUACAAGGGAAAAUUCAUUGAAUUACCAAUGCUAGCUUGAUCUGGGACACCCUUGACCGAGCCCGAUGGAGCAAAGGGGGUAAAAAAAGGGGGGGGGCAAUUUUGCACACACAUUCUUUUAAAAAAAAAAUUCGUAGGUUUCCUUUUUGAAAUUGAAAGUAAAGUAAAGUUAAGUUACAUUUAAUAUAGGAAAUUAUUUUUCCAACUCCGGCAGUGAGAUUCGAACUCUCAAUCUUAGCGCCUUGAGAUAGAUCAGCGUACCCCUGCGCCACUGGCAUUGUAGUGAAUUUAUCGAAAUUUAAGUACUUAAGUCUACUACUACGGAAGAAAUUAAAAAAAAAUAAUAAUAUAAAGAUUCUCACCCAGUUUGUUUUCUUUUUGGAAUUAUGUGUUCAGAUGAUAAUUUUUUGUUGCCAAAUGCAUGAUUUUUACGCAAAUCUAGGAGGAAUCCACUCUUUAAACUGUCAUUUUUUCAUUGAAAUAUACAUGUUCCUUUAUUCAAACAAAAGUGUUUUCAACUUUAGUAUACCGCAACACUUACGAAACCAUGUUUUGUUACAUCUAUUUCAACUUUGCCAAAAAAAUUCAGAAUAUUUUAGCGGUUUUUGUCUCUUUUCUCAUAAUAUCUUUAAGAAAUGACUUCAGAUUUUUAGCGUAAUUCAAGUUUGUGAUUGCGCUGCUACACUAAAAAUUACAUUUGCAACUAGUGUACAAGUUAGAACUAUUAGUUUAAUACUAUUCUUCAAAAACUCACUGCACAGUUAUUGAAAAAAGACAUAAAUCCUCUUAAAAGAGCAGUUUUCUUUGCACUUCUUUUUGAGAAUAUCCCUCAAAAUUCGAAGAAAAAUAAAUGGUUUUUACAGAAAAAUUACACAUCAGUAA
rnacentral:lncRNA from 1 species